UGUUUUCUUUCUUUCUUUUCUUUUCUUUUUUUUUUUUUUAAACCAUGUAAGAUCUUUUAGAUAUCUCCAGGAAUAAAUAGAAACUGGCACAGUUACAAUUGGUAAACAGGAAAAAAAAAAUCACACACACACACACACACAAACACACACACACCAAACCAAAAAAAAAACCCAAAAAACAAAUAGAGGCCUGACCAUCAGCCACUGUCAUGGAUUAAAAAUAAAGGCCAUGACGUCAGUAUUUAUUUACAUUAUACACUUACAUUUUUACCAAAGGCAGAUAAGAAAUAUACUAAAUUACCUCCCAUAUACUGUCUAAGACAUUGAAUAAAAGCAUUUCUUACGUGUGAUGAAUUUUCCUAUGCCACGUGAGACAGCUAAUUCACGAGAGAAUAAAUUUCAGUAAAUUAAAGGCAUAUGUUAACUUGGAUUACUUACUAAGCUCAUUCCAGCAGGAUUUGGUUUGAAAACAGUAUGUCUGCCGUGCACAUUGAUUAUUAUAGACAGCUGUCAGCUGAAUAAAAUGUAUUUAUCGAUUCGGGGAUCGUUAGGAAAAAACGUGCCUAAGUGGCUAUCUUGCCUUUCACAGGGUGAGAGCUCCAUUUACUUUAUCUUUUAGUUUCAUAGUUGUUCAUCCACUAACAAAACUGGUUGUUUUUGUAGCUGUUGGGUUACUAUCAAAGAGAUGGCGGGAGAAUGGAAGGAGUAAACAGAAAGAAAGGGGCGCCUUUCAUCUGCUAUUGAACUUCACACUUAAUACAUUAGUAACAGCUUAUACUAUCUCCUCUCUGCUUGGAACUGUGUCCCAAAAUCAUCCCCCCCCCCUUAAGUCCCCACUCCCUCUGAGAGCCUCAGCAGGCAGCUGCCAGCUCCUGAAAUGUCUUUGCUAUUU
rnacentral:lncRNA from 1 species